rnacentral:rRNA from 1 species
CGCCUUUUGAACUAUAAACAUAAAAGGUCCUGCCUGCCCAGUGACAUUUGUUUCAACGGCCGCGGUAUUAUGACCGUGCAAAGGUAGCGUAAUCACUUGUCUUUUAAAUAAAGACCAGUAUGAAUGGCAAGACGAAACCUAACUGUCUCCCUAAGUUAGUCAAUAAAAUUGAUCUUCCCGUGCAGAAGCGGGAAUAAUAAUAUAAGACGAGAAGACCCUGUGGAGCUUCAAACUCAAGCUAACACCAUAAAUGCCUUAGCACCAGUUUUAGGUUGGGGCGACCAUGAGGUAGAACACAACCCUCAAGACGUAAAACUAAGAAGGACACUUCAAAUAAAUAAUAAUAAUGUAAUUGACCCAAUAAUUGAUCAACGAACCAAGUUACCCCAGGGAUAACAGCGCAAUCUACUCAAAGAGCCCUUAUCGAAGAGCAGGUUUACGACCUCGAUGUUGGAUCAGGACCCCCAAAUAAUGCAACAGUUAUUAAAGGUUCGUUUGUUCAACGAUUAAAGUCCU